ensembl:lncRNA
UGAACAAGUGCUGGACAAUGCCUUGAUUCAUAUCCCUGCACGGGGGAAAGGAACCGGCUGAUAAAUGCCCCAUGAACUGAACUGUCUGUGACAAAUGGUCUUUAAGAAAAUGAUGAGUUUUUUAUUUUUAAGUGAAUCAUCUGAAAGCCAAGAGCGUGGGAAUGAGUGUUACGUGGAAAACAAUCAAUGCCAACAGAGCAUUUUGGUUUGGUUGUGCACAGGAAUACAGCCUCCUGCUGUGGGAAAAGCUGAGCACUGUCUCCUGGAAGCAGCAAACACAAAUCCAUGGUGGCAACAGAUGCUGGACCUGCUGCCCUACCUGGGAGUGCCACGGAGGAGUCUGCUGUCUGCUUGGCUGCUCCUCUUCCCUCCUGUGGGUCUGGGAUGAACUCAGCCCAUGCGUCGCUGUGGCUGGUUGGUGCCCCUGGGACAUGGCCAGAGGGUGCUUCUAAGUCCAGUGUUGCAGGCUCAGCUUCCCCUUGGCACACUGCCAGACCUGGGCUUUGCUGUUCCUCUCAAAAAUUGCAGAGGAGACAGGGAGGGACCUUUAGAAAUGCUGUGUGUGCAUGUGUAGGGCCAGUGUGUGCCAUCCUUACUCCUGACAUGACCCACCCCCAGGCUGCUCCCAGAAGACCUCAUACCUAUUUGUUGUUGGAUUUAGUAAUCAUUGCAAGACUCUUCCAACUGAGCCAUUCCAUUCCAUUCCAUUCUCCUCCAUUCCAUUCCAUUCUGUCCCAUUCCAUUCUCCUUCAUUCCAUUCCAUCCCAUUCCAUUCUGUCCCAUUCCAUUCCAUUCCAUUCCAU